rnacentral:sRNA from 1 species
UGGGGGUCUGGGUCUCAGGUGUGGCAGAUGACAGGAUUGGACAUUGAGAAGGACCAGAUUAUUGAGAUGGCCUGUCUGAUAACUGACUCUGAUCUCAACAUUUUGGCUGAAGGUCCUAACCUGAUUAUAAAACAACCAGAUGAGUUGCUGGACAGCAUGUCAGAUUGGUGUAAGGAGCACCACGGGAAGGUAACAUUACCAAAUAACAGGAUUGCUGCUUUGGGGAUCAGUAACAAGCUUUUUGCUCCCACACCUGAAUCCGAUACCAUUGUUGGAUGGUAUUUUAAAAAGGCUUAGAGAAGAUUGCAUGGCAAGCCUGGGAAACUGCUUGCUUGUUUACUUUUCAUCUUUGGGACCUCUCGAGAUCAUCUUCUCCUGAAUGUCCUCUUUUUUUUCUCUCCUACAUUCAGUCUGUCGCGAACGCAUUGUGGAUUGUCAAGUAUUACUCAAGUCAGUCUUUUGG